UAGGGAAUCUUCGGCAAUGGGGGGAACCCUGACCGAGCAACGCCGCGUGAGUGAAGAAGGUUUUCGGAUCGUAAAGCUCUGUUGUUAAGGAAGAACGAGUGUGAGAAUGGAAAGUUCAUACUGUGACGGUACUUAACCAGAAAGGGACGGCUAACUACGUGCCAGCAGCCGCGGUAAUACGUAGGUCCCGAGCGUUGUCCGGAUUUAUUGGGCGUAAAGCGAGCGCAGGCGGUUAGAUAAGUCUGAAGUUAAAGGCAGUGGCUCAACCAUAGUAGGCUUUGGAAAUUGUUUAACUUGGGUGCAGCAGGGGGGAGUGGACUUCCAUGUGUAGGGGUAAAAUGCGGAGAUAUAUGGAGGAACACCGGUGGCGAACGCGGCUCGCUGGUCUGUAACUGACGCUGAGGCUCGAAAGGGUGGGGAGCGAACAGG
rnacentral:rRNA from 1 species